CAUUAGUCUCUGAAUUGUAGCCGUUUGAGAGUCAAAUCUCUGAAAAGUGCAGAAGAAUUUGAUUUAUUCAAAAGUUCUUUGACCUCUUAUUCUUGACCAAAUUUUGUGACAGAGGAGACAGAGAAAAGCGUUGGAGAGACGUUAUGGAGUUACCAAGGUUGGUAAAAAAAUGGUAGAGCAUCACUGACUUAGGUUUGAAAAGCUUUGGAGCUUUGCUAAAAAUGUCCAUGUGAGAUAGAGGAAUGUGAGAGGGUGACUGCCACGGAGAAAAGGAACUAGGGUUAAGGUUUAGUUGGGC
rnacentral:lncRNA from 1 species